rnacentral:rRNA from 2 species
CAGUCUGCAUGGAGCCGGCCUUGAAAUACCACCCUUUAAUGUUUGAUGUUCUAACGUGGACCCGUGAUCCGGGUUGCGGACAGUGUCUGGUGGGUAGUUUGACUGGGGCGGUCUCCUCCUAAAGAGUAACGGAGGAGCACGAAGGUUGGCUAAUCCUGGUCGGACAUCAGGAGGUUAGUGCAAUGGCAUAAGCCAGCUUGACUGCGAGCGUGACGGCGCGAGCAGGUGCGAAAGCAGGUCAUAGUGAUCCGGUGGUUCUGAAUGGAAGGGCCAUCGCUCAACGGAUAAAAGGUACUCCGGGGAUAACAGGCUGAUACCGCCCAAGAGUUCAUAUCGACGGCGGUGUUUGGCACCUCGAUGUCGGCUCAUCACAUCCUGGGGCUGAAGUAGGUCCCAAGGGUAUGGCUGUUCGCCAUUUAAAGUGGUACGCGAGCUGGGUUUAGAACGUCGUGAGACAGUUCGGUCCCUAUCUGCCGUGGGCGCUGGAGAACUGAGGGGGGCUGCUCCUAGUACGAGAGGACCGGAGUGGACGCAUCACUGGUGUUCGGGUUGUCAUGCCAAUGGCACUGCCCGGUAGCUAAAUGCGGAAGAGAUAAGUGCUGAAAGCAUCUAAGCACGAAACUUGCCCCGA